rnacentral:lncRNA from 10 species
GGCCCACACUCAGACCUUUGUCACCAUCUCAAGGACCUUUUUUUCCCUCUUCCUCCUUUCACGAUGGAGCCAGACCCUGCACGCAGGCACGGACUGAGGACUUCAUGUAUUCCAGAUUCUCCCCACAGCAACUGGAAGAAGUAGCUGACGUUGCUCUCCCCAUUUUACAGAUGUGAGAAUGGAAGAAGUUAAGAUGGAUCCAAGCCAGUUGGUGAGGAAACUGAGGCUCAGAGAGGGGAAGUAACUUACCCAAGACUGCACAGCAGUAAGCGGCAGAACCUGGACCCAGCCCCUGGCUCCAGACCCCCACUGCUCUGCUGACCUGCAGGGGCCUCGAAUCAACAUAAAGCCUUUCACCCCUAGCCUGCUCCUGUCUCAACCUCAACCUCCAGAGAACAUCCAUCCUCCAUGGAGCCUCCCAGCCUGAGCCCUCUGAGCUGCCUCCCUUCUUCUCUCCCCUCAGCCCAGG